rnacentral:rRNA from 1 species
CAAUAGCGUAUAUUUAAGUUGCUGCAGUUAAAAAGUUCGUAGUUGGAUUUCGGGUGGGAAUGGCCGGUCCGCCGUUUCGGUGUGCACUUGCUACGCCCACCUUGCUGCCGGGGACGUGCUCUUGAGUUCACGCUCGGGACACGGAGUCGGCGAGGUUACUUUGAGUAAAUUAGAGUGUUCAAAGCAGGCCUACGCUCUGAAUACAUUAGCAUGGAAUAACACGAUAGGACUCUGGCCUAUCUUGUUGGUCUGUAGGACCGGAGUAAUGAUUAAGAGGGACAGUCGGGGGCAUUCGUAUUUCAUUGUCAGAGGUGAAAUUCUUGGAUUUAUGAAAGACGAACUACUGCGAAAGCAUUUGCCAAGGAUGUUUUCAUUAA